rnacentral:rRNA from 1 species
GCUGGCGGCGUGCUUAACACAUGCAAGUCGAGCGGAAAGGCCCUUUCGGGGGUACUCGAGCGGCGAACGGGUGAGUAACACGUGAGUAAUCUGCCCUGCGCUCUGGGAUAGCCACCGGAAACGGUGAUUAAUACCGGAUAGGACCACUUCACGCAUGUGAUGGUGGUGGAAAGUUUUUUCGGCGCAGGAUGUGCUCGCGGCCUAUCAGCUUGUUGGUGAGGUAACGGCUCACCAAGGCUUUGACGGGUAACCGGCCUGAGAGGGUGACCGGUCACACUGGGACUGAGACACGGCCCAGACUCCUACGGGAGGCAGCAGUGGGGAAUAUUGGACAAUGGGCGGAAGCCUGAUCCAGCAACGCCGCGUGAGGGAUGACGGCCUUCGGGUUGUAAACCUCUUUCAGUACCGACGAAGCGAAAGUGACGGUAGGUACAGAAGAAGGACCGGCCAACUACGUGCCAGCAGCCGCGGUAAUACGUAGGGUCCGAGCGUUGUCCGGAAUUAUUGGGCGUAAAGGGCUCGUAGGCGGUUUGUCGCGUCGGGAGUGAAAACACCGGGCUUAACUCGGUGCUUGCUUUCGAUACGGGCAGACUAGAGGUAUGCAGGGGAGAAUGGAAUUCCUGGUGUAGCGGUGAAAUGCGCAGAUAUCAGGAGGAACACCGGUGGCGAAGGCGGUUCUCUGGGCAUUACCUGACGCUGAGGAGCGA